rnacentral:rRNA from 1 species
AUUGAACGCUGGCGGCAGGCCUAACACAUGCAAGUCGAGCGAGCGGCGGACUGGUGAGUACUGUCUGGGAAUCUGCCUGAUGGCGGGGGAUAACUACUGGAAACGUUAGCUAAUCCCGCAUACCCUCCGAUGUACCCAGCUGGGAUUAGCUAGUAGGUGGGGUAAUGGCUCACCUAGGCGACGAUCCCUAGCUGGGCUGAGAGGAUGACAAGCCAAAAUGGGACUGAGACACGGUCCAGACGCCUACGUGAGGCAGCAGUGGGGAAGAGUGCACAAUGGGCGCAAGCCUGAUGCAGCCAUGCCGCGUGUAUGAAGAAGGCCUUAGGGUUGUAAAGCACUUUCAGCGAGGAGGCGUUACUCGCAGAAGAAGCACCGGCUAACGCCGUGCCAGCAGCCGCGGUAAUUC